rnacentral:rRNA from 1 species
UACGAGGGGGGGCGAGCGUUGUUCGGAAUUAUUGGGCGUAAAGGGUGCGUAGGCGGUUUUGGUAAGUCUGAUGUGAAAUCUAUGGGGCUCAACUCAUAGUCUGCAUCGGAAACUGCCGGGCUUGAGUGUGGGAGAGGUGAGUGGAAUUCCUGGUGUAGCGGUGAAAUGCGUAGAUAUCAGGAGGAACACCUGUGGCGAAAGCGGCUCACUGGACCAUAACUGACGCUGAUGCACGAAAGCUAGGGGAGCAAACAGG